GAUUAACGCUAGCGGCAGGCCUAAUACAUGCAAGUCGAACGGCAGCGGGUCCAGCAAUGGAUGCCGGCGAGUGGCGCACGGGUGCGUAACGCGUAUACAAUCUACCUUUAACUGGGGGAUAGCCCCGAGAAAUCGGGAUUAAUACCCCAUAAUAUUGAGAGGUGGCAUCACUUUUCAAUUAAAGCUCCGGCGGUUUUAGAUGAGUAUGCGUGACAUUAGCUAGUUGGUGAGGUAACGGCUCACCAAGGCGACGAUGUCUAGGGGUUCUGAGAGGAUUUUCCCCCCCACUGGUACUGAAACACGGACCAGACUCCGACGGGAGGCAGCAGUAAGGAAUAUUGGGCAAUGGGCGCAAGCCUGACCCAGCCAUGCCGCGUGAAGGAUGACAGCCCUAUGGGUUGUAAACUUCUUUUGUACGGGAAAAAACCCCCGGUCGUGAACCGGGGCUGAUGGUACCGUAAGAAUAAGCAUCGGCUAACUCCGUGCCAGCAGCCGCAGUAACAC
rnacentral:rRNA from 1 species